rnacentral:rRNA from 1 species
AUACGGAGGGUCCGAGCGUUAUCCCGGAUUUAUUGGGUUUAAAGGGUGCGUAGGCGGUUUUAUAAGUCAGCGGUGAAAUUUUCCGGCUCAACCGGGAUACUGCCGUUGAUACUGUAAGGCUAGGAUAUGGUUGCUGUGGGUGGAAUGUGUGGUGUAGCGGUGAAAUGCUUAGAGAUCACACAGAAUAUCGAUUGCGAAGGCAGCUCACAAAGCCAUUUAUUGACGCUGAGGCACGAAAGGUGUGGGGAUC